rnacentral:lncRNA from 1 species
GACAGUAGAAUGCUUCUGCUACAUAAAUAUGGGCUGUUUUUGACAAUACAAUGCACAUUUAUCCGGUACUAGCACCAUUAAGUCAUGCUAAAUUACUGAAAUCCUCAUAAUUCUAGCAUUUUAGUUAAAUUUUAGACGGUUUUCGUGUAAAACGAAAGUGGCCGCAUUCGUGUCCAUCCUUAAUAUUGAAAUGUAAGUUGUAUUUUAUGAUAAUACAUAACAUAUAUAAAGGUUGAGGAUGAACACGGA